CUUUACUGUAGCCUGGAAUUGAUUUUGGGCUUUUUUUGCGCAGUCUAGGUGGGAGGUGUUGAUUAUUUUCUUUUGGGAAAAUAGGAGCCGACUUUGAGAGACCACCCUAAAAAAGCUAGAAUUCUAAGAGCGUUCCUUGAAACAGGGCGCUUAACAGUGCCAGGUGGGCAGUUUGACUGGGGCGGUCAUCUCUUAAAAGGUAACAGAGAUGUGCAAAGGUUCCUUCAGGCUGGACGGAAAUCAGCCAUAGAGUGUAAAGGCAUAAGGGAGCUUGACUGUAAGACUUACAAGUCAAACAGAGGCGAAAGCCGGUCUUAGUGAUCCGACGGUGCCGCGUGGAAGGGCCGUCGCUAAACGGAUAAAAGUUA
rnacentral:rRNA from 1 species